UAUUAUACAAAGAAGAACCUGGGCGAGUCAUACAUACUAUGCAUAUCAAAUGCAGAUGUUCCAAGUGGAGGUAGAGGAGAAAGCUUGGAAGUCAUUCUGAUCAUGUUCCUGUAGAAGCAUUGGGUGGAGGGUGUUCGCGGAUCCUGGCCACGUUGGAGUUGAAAAGAACAAUGUUGCAAACUAUUGAACCCUUCUUUAACAAUCUAAUAAAACUGAUCUGACAAAAAAAAAACGAUUUAACCAAUAUUUUCUUAUUUAUUUAAAUUGUUACAUAUUUUGUUCAAAAAGCCAACUCUCUCUUUUGUUUUUGGUUCAAAGAGCCAACUAACCUUUAAAAUCUCUGGAUUGUAUAAACAAUAUUUGCGUUCAUCUUCUGUGGUAAACUAUUAAAUUCACCUUACUUCUUAUCAUCACGUAGGAUUAAUAAAAAAUAUUAAAAUUAAAAAAAAAGCACAAAAUAGUUGGAAAAAAAAAACGACGCUUACGUUAACGAUGUUAGCGCCGUCAGUAAAACUUUAAACUCUGAACUCUAAACACUAAGUUCUAAAUCCUAAAAUUUUAAACUUUAAAAUCAAUAACUCUAAAUCCUAUAAAGCCAGUCCUAUUGGAACGACAUCGGUGUUAAGAUUUAGAGUUUAUUAUUUAAGGUUAGAGUUUAAGAUUUAGUGUUUAAGGUUUAGGAUUUAAGAUUUCACCGAUAAUAUUAAAGUCUUCUCAACUGGUUGGCUUUUUCUUUUAGUUUUAAUAUUUUUUUAUUUAUUUUAUAUGAUAUUUUAAUUGGUGAUAAGAGUUAAGGUGAAUACGAAAGUUUACCACAGGUGAACCCAAAUAUUUUUCCGAUUGUAUAAUGGCCACUGUGUCUACGAAUAAACUAAAUAUUUAAUUUUCCGUCAACCAAAUUACUAAGUAUCAUUUUUGUUUUCUGUUUUCUGUUUUUUUUUUCGUUUUGUCGCAUAAAGGUCAUUUAUAUCGAAUGUUGUCAAAUUUAAUAAUAUAGAUUAAUGGCCACUGCCAUACAAAGACAGGUGGGAUGUAAUACAGUCGACGGUAUUAGGUGACAAAAUAACAAAACGACAAAAGUUUUUUUUGUUAUCUGACUACUCCGUUUUGGAGGACAAUUCAUCGAUAGCAACAUUCAAAGUUGGGCCAUCAAUCAUAAGAUAACAUAUUUGAAGUUGUCAUCUGAGGAAACCAUGUUUACACGUACGAUGUUACUAUUACGCCUACGAGUUUUGUGGGUGUAAAUACAUGAUUAGGUUUUACUUUUCUAAACUAGGGUUUGGACCAUAAGAGCAUGAUUAACUCUAAAAUCCCAUUUCGGGUUCUUAUUAUUAUUAUUUUUUGUCUGAUUUAAAAAAUAAAAAUUAAAAACGAACCAAUCGCGGAUCGCCACGUGUCAGUGAGACCCGCAAAC
rnacentral:lncRNA from 1 species